ACAAAGUUCUGAAACCAGAAGAUUGAUGGGAGACGGGAAGAGUUUAAGUGCUGCGAUUAGGAACUAUGGGCAAUGUCCUUAUGAGGAAGAUAUGCAGAUGGACAGCAAUGAUUUGCCCAGAAUAUAGCAAACAACCAAAUAUGAUGCAAAAACCCCCACCCUAGAAUAAAGAAAGUAUUCUGCUUGCUUGAAACUAGAGCAAAGUAAAAAUUUCACAGCAAACAACGUAUUUGACAAAUUGAUCCUCUUUCUGCUUGCAAAACAUCCAUAAGCAGUUGGUGCCGUGCCUCGGAUAGCAACGCCCGGCUGAGAAAGCGACAACUACUACGGACCGUUCCCCUUCAAACCCCAAGGCGCCAAUCAAGAGGUGAAAGAAGCACUACUCAAGGAUCCUGAGCAACCCUGUCAUUCAUUAGAACCAGGAGAGUGGGUCUACAUAAAGGUCCAUCAGCGAAAGACUGCUCUGGCUCCGCACUGGAAAGGCUGUUACCAAGUUCUGCUAACUACCAACAUCACUGUGAAGUGCCAAGGACUAACUGCCUGCACUCAUGCAUCUCACUGCAAGAAGGCCCCUCCACCUCAGGAUGACCCUCCGACUGCUGAUCAGCCUGUCCCUCCUUAUGGUACUACUUUUCCUCCUUCUGGACAGCAGGAGAAAAGGACAAGGAGAAGUGCUGGUAACUUCUCCCUUGUUCACUAACAGAAUCACCAUACAUUCACCAUCUCUGGAGGAACCCAGUUAUUACAGGGUGACAUGCUGGUAACCUCUCCCCUGUAUGAUGCUGAACUAUGACUGUUCCAGAAAAAAAGAAGAAGUUAUCUGUUCUUUGAAGAUUUGCCUAAGGACAGACACUCUGUCUUUCCGGCAAUUGCAUGAAUAAAUUGUCUCUGACUUGUUGCUGACAAACUCAGCAUGAAGACUCUGUUUUCUUCCACAGGUGGUUAAUAAAAUUCAUCACUGUUGGACAUGCAGACCUGUAAGUAUUACACUUUUUCCACACUAGUAACUUGAGUGACAUUACUGGGUGCACGCAUUUCUCCUCCUGCGGGGAGGUUGAGAGAACAAAAACAGGAUAGAUGUUAAUCAUGUUGCUUAUUGCACUACUAGAAAGUACUCAGAUACUGUGGUGAUGAGCAUGGUAUAAAAAGCCUAUAUUGAAUAAAAUAAAAUAGAAUAGAACUAGGCAUUCUAUGGGGCUUGUGUAAGUGAGCAGGUAGCCUGCAUAGGCCUGCUGUUCUUACACAAAUAGUCAUUUGCCCAGAUAUCUCUUUCUCCCCUCUAUCUACUCUUAGACACUUCUCAGUGUAUCUCAGUUAUGCUAGCAAACAUAUUUUUUUUCUGAUUGGUCAACAGUAUUAUCUUUUUACUUCUGGAAAUAAAUCUUAGGUUUUUCCCUUUACCUUCUCUAGAUAAAAUCUCUACAGACUUUUUUUGUAAGUCUCUACUCUUUGAGAUUGGGGUCAUUUUUAUCAAACUCAUUUUACUGAUUUUUAUAAUAUUUUGCUUAAUGGUAUAUAUAACAUAUAGAUUUUUAGCUAAUGACCUGAGGUCUGUGUAUGCUAUAUGUCCCUAUGUAAUUUAGGUGUUUAUGGAUCCAUUUUAUCAGAAGUUAAGUGGACAGGAGGGGUUUUUUAUUUAGAUUGACUUACAAUCCUUCAGUUUUUGACUGACACUUUAAACCUGACAUUUAUAUUGUGUCAGAAUGCUUACCACCAAGAAUGAAUGAGGGAUCACUGACAAAGAAACAGACCACGAGCAAAAACUAAUUUUGUGCUUUCUGACAUUGGUCACUCCUUUCUGUUAUUUUCAGUGUCUCUGGUGUGGGAACAAACAGGAGACAGUUUAGAAGGCUUCCCUACUUUGUCUUAGUUCUAAAGGAAAGGCAGCAUUGAUGAUGUAUCAUUUACAUUAAGUGCUACCCUCAGAUCAAUAUACAUAAUGGGUAUCUAUUUUUUAAUUUAAUUUUAUAGAAGCAAAAACCAAAUCAGUAAUACUUUAUGUAAGAAAUUCCAAUUAAUGCUAGUGAAAAAGACUUGACCAUAUCUACAACUAGAAGAAUAUAUCCAAUAUUUUCUAAGUAUUAUUGUUGAGCUUUGCUAGAUUUUGCUAUUCAGGACACCACGUAAUUUUCUCUCUCACACAAAAAAGCAGCACGCUCUCUCCACUUCUUAGCAAGAAUUUAAAACAGAAGUGCUGAAAUGAGGAUUCUCAUUAAAAAGAUCCAUUGCUUUUACAAACUAUCCUGUGGAACAUUUAAUCAUUCUCAUUCACAUUUUCAAAAGACUCUAUAAACUUGAUCUGUUUAAUCCUCACAGUAUCCUUAUGUGGUAAGACAAUAUAAACCCCACUUUCCAGAUGGGGAAACUGAAACAAAGGAAAUCAUGAGACUUACUCAGGUCACAUGCCAAGUCAGAAGAAGAGGCAUGAUUAGAACUCAGUAGUUCCUGGCCUUCUAUCCCCACAGUGUACCUACUUCAUCACACAGCCGCUCUAAACUUAUUUAUCUGUUUACUAGUAUACUGUGAAGUAUUACAAACAAAAUCAAACUUUUUUAUCAAACAGUUGAAAAAUGUACAUUGUAUGAUGCAUUAUUCUUGCCUUUUUUACUAUUUGUUUGCUUACUUGCUAAAUUAUAAAAUCUAGUAAUUUCCAAUCCACUUGUUAGUGUAAAUUAGCAAGGGUCCACUAAUGUCAAGUUCUCUAUAAUAUUAUUGGGUAUUCUUUUCUUGUAUAGCUCCCAAUUGGUCCUUGUAAUCUAUGGAAUAGCAUUAGGCUUGUACAUGUAUUUGCAAGUGUCUUUGUUUUUUAUUUGAUUUGUAUUUAA